rnacentral:tRNA from 1 species
GUCCCUGUAGCGCAAUGGACAGCGCUUUGGACUUCUGAUCCAAAGGUCGUGGGUUCGAAUUCCACCUGGAAUG